rnacentral:rRNA from 1 species
GAUGAACGCUGGCGGCGUGCCUAAUACAUGCAAGUCGAGCGAACAGAUGAGGAGCUUGCUCCUCUGACGUUAGCGGCGGACGGGUGAGUAACACGUGGAUAACCUACCUAUAAGACUGGGAUAACUUCGGGAAACCGGAGCUAAUACCGGAUAAUAUAUUGAACCGCAUGGUUCAAUAGUGAAAGACGGUUUUGCUGUCACUUAUAGAUGGAUCCGCGCCGCAUUAGCUAGUUGGUAAGGUAACGGCUUACCAAGGCAACGAUGCGUAGCCGACCUGAGAGGGUGAUCGCCCACCCUGGAACUGGACCAGGCCCCAGACACCGGCGGGCGGCAGAAGAGGGGAUUCUUCCGCAAGGGGCGAAGGCCUGACGGCUCACCCCGGGGUGAGUGAGAAAGGUUUUGGGAUCAAAAAACUUUUUUAUUGGGAAAAAAAAAAUGGGAAAGUAAAUAGCCGCGUCUGCACGUUACCUAAUAAAAAGGCCCCGCCUAACUCCGUC